UAGAAUUCUCUUCAUUUUUCUUCAUCCUCUCCAGCCAAAAACACCAUUGAAGGGUUUUCUUAAGCUGGUUUCUCAUAUUUUUACUACAUAUCAAGAACUUGAAGCAAAUCGUGGAAAGGAUAAAUUGCUAGAAUAGUUCCUGAAUUUUUACGACUUUUGCAAAUUAGCCCAGAUUGACAUAUAUACCUUCGGAGGAUCGGAUCUACAUCGAGGAUCACACUAUUCAGAUUUACUCUAGUAGAUUUUGUAAACAACUUUUUGAUUUAUAUGGCAUGUAUGGGGGCUAAAAUAAUAAUGAUAUAGAAUGAAUGAUUAAGUAGGUCAAGUAAUUUGAAUGUAAUGGUUGUGUUAGAUAAUGAAAUAUACAUGUUUUGGCUUGAAA